GACGAACGCUGGCGGCGUGCUUAACACAUGCAAGUCGAACGAUGAAGUUCCUUCGGGGAUGGAUUAGUGGCGAACGGGUGAGGAACACGUGAAGAAUCUGCCCUCCACUUUGGGAUAACUCCGGGAAACCGGGGCUAAUACCGAAUAUUGAAACAUAGACGGCAUCGUCGAGUUUUGAAAGAAUUUCGGUGGAGGAUGACUUCGCGGCCUAUCAGCUUGUUGGUGAGGUAAUGGCUCACCAAGGCGACGACGGGUAGCCGGCCUGAGAGGGCGACCGGCCACACUGGGACUGAGACACGGCCCAGACUCCUACGGGAGGCAGCAGUGGGGAAUAUUGGGCAAUGGACGCAAGUCUGACCCAGCGACGCCGCGUGCGGGAUGAAGGCCUUCGGUUGUAAACUGCUUUGUACGAACGGAACGGUGAGCUCUAAUAC
rnacentral:rRNA from 1 species